AGAGUUUGAUCCUGGCUCAGAAUCAACGCUGGCGGCGUGCCUCAGACAUGCAAGUCGAACGAGAAAGUCCCCUUCGGGGGGUGAGUAAAGUGGCGCACGGGUGAGUAACACGUAGGUAAUCUACCUUCGGGUGGGGAAUAACCCAGGGAAACUUGGGCUAACACCGCAUAAUGCAGCGGCACCACAUGGUGACAGUUGUUAAAGCGGGGGAUUUUAGGACCUCGCGCCUGAAGAGGAGCCUGCGGCGGAUUAGCUAGUUGGUAAGGUAACGGCUUACCAAGGCGACGAUCCGUAACCGGCCUGAGAGGGCGGUCGGUCACACUGACACUGACAUACGGGUCAGACUCCUACGGGAGGCAGCAGUCGGGAAUUUUGGGCAAUGGGCGAAAGCCUGACCCAGCAACGCCGCGUGAAGGAUGAAAUCCCUCGGGAUGUAAACUUCGCAAGAUUGGGAAGAAUUAGUAGGGGUUAAUACCCUCUAUGAUGACGGUACCUUUUGUAAGCUCCGGCUAACUCCGUACCAGCAGCCGCGGUAAUACGGGGGGAGCAAGCGUUGUUCGGAUUUACUGGGCGUAAAGGGCGCGUAGGCGGUCAGCACAAGUCAGUUGUGAAAUCUCCGGGCUUAACUCGGAAA
rnacentral:rRNA from 1 species